GAGGGUAGAGCUCAGUGGUAGAGCACGUGCUUAGCAUGCACGAGGUCCUGUGUUCAAUCCCCAGUCCCUCCA
rnacentral:tRNA from 1 species